AGAAUUUGAUGCCAUCUUGACCUGGCUAACAAUUAAUGAUGACUAAUGUACCCCUGAGAAAAUCUGCAGAACUGAACCGGCAAUUAAGCUUAUGUUUUAACCAAAUGGACUAUGACCCCAACAUGUAGGUUAGGCCUACCGAUCGUACAGCCAAGAUGAUGCACAGACACUUGUUAUUAAAGGUCAUUGAUGUAGGGAAAGUACAGCAUCAUUGGGGAAAAGAACUUCACUUUGCCUGACUCCUUGAAGAACAGGAACGGAGGAACCAACUUCAUGCUUCCAGAAUACCUUGCAUGAGCAGCUGUUGUAAAAUUCAACUAUGGAAUAUCAGAGAUUCAACAAGAAGACUUCUGGGGCCCCGGAGAGGCGCAAGACAACACACAAGGAGGAAGAUCAUCCAAGCUAGGCAGUUCCUUACGAAGCAAGCUACAGACCACUUUCCAACCUCACCAGUCAUUCCUGUGUAUGCAGAGAAUCCUUGGAACCAAUUACCAUGUGCUCUGAAGAAUGUGUUAUAUCUUUGCCGCCAAGGAAUUCGUCAAUGAGAGGAAUAUCGGUGAUUCAACUAAAAUACUUCUGGGACCCAGUAGAGGAGCAAGACAACACACAAGGAGUGAGAUCAUCCAAGCUAGGCUGUUCCUUACGAAGCAAGAGCUCUACAGACCACUUUCAAGUCUCACACAUCAUUCCUGUGCAUGCAGAGAAUCUCUGGAAUUAAUUAAUAGGAAUAUCAGGGAUUCAACUAAAAUACUUCUGGGGGCCAGAGGAGCACAUGACAACACACGAGGAGGGAGAUCACCCAAGCUAGGUUGUUCCUUAUGAAGCAAGCUUCAGACCGCUUUUCAAUCUCACACAUCAUUCCUGUGCAUGCAGAGAAUCUCUGGAACCAAUCACCAUGUGCCUUGUACAAUGUGUAAUAUCUUUGCCCCUAAGGAAUUUGUCAAUGAGAGGAGUAUCAGAGAUUCAACUGAAAACAUCUAGGACCCCGGGGAGGUGCAAGACAACACACAAAGAGGGAGAUCACCCAAGCUAGGCUCUUCCUUACGAAGCAAGCUACAGACCACUUUCAAGUCUCACACAUCAUUCCUGUGCAUGCAGAGAAUAUCUGGAAUUAAUUGAUAGGAAUAUCAGAGAUUCAACUGAAAACUUCUGGGACCCCGGAGAGGCGCAAGACAACACACAAGGAGGGAGAUCACCCAAGCUAGGCAGUUCCUUAUGAAGCAAGCUACAGACCACUUUUUAAUCUCACACGUCAUUCCUGAACAUGCUGAGAAUCUCUGAAACCAAUCACCAUGUGCUCUGAAGAAUGUGUUAUAUCUUUGCCGCCAAGGAAUUCGUCAAUGAGAGGAAUAUCAGAGAUUCAACUGAAAACUUCUGGGACCCCGGAGAGGCACAAGACAACACACAAGGAGGGAGAUCACCCAAACUAGGCUGUUCUUUAUGAAGCAAGUUAUAGAUCACUUUCAAAUCUCACAUGUCAUUCCUGUGCAUGCAUAGAAUCUCUGGAACCAAUAACCAUGUGCUCUGAAGAAUGUGUUAUAUCUUUGCCGCCAAGGAAUUCAUCAAUGAGAGGAAUAUCGAUGAUUCAACUAAAAUACUUCUGGGCGUCAGAGAAGUGCAUGACAGUUCCUUACGUAGCAAGCUACGGACCACUUUCAAAUCUCACAUGUCAUUCCUGUGCAUGCAGAGAAUCUCUGGAAGCAAUAACGAUGUGCUCUGAAGAAUGUGUUCUAUCUUUGCCGCCAAGGAAUUCGUCAAUGAGAGGAAUAUCAGUGAUUCAACUGAAAACUUCUAGGACCCCAGAGAGGUGCAAGACAACACACAAGGAGGGAGAUCACCCAAGCUAGGCUGUUCCUCGUGAAGCAAGCUACAGAUCACUUUCAAACCUCACACGUCCUCCUAUACAUGCAGAGACUCUCUGGAAGCAAUUGCCAUGUGCUCUGAAGAACUUCUUAUUCCCUACCGCCAAGGAACUCAUCGAAGAGAGAGGUCUACGGCUGCAUGCAAAGCUACCAGAUAGCAAGGAUGCAACGUCACAUCAUUCCAGAGGCGACGGAUGACAACAGAUGUCUCAUGAUCAACAGGAGGUGUGACAGAUGACAAAGAUUGCCUGGAAGGUGCUCUCCUUGUGCUUGUUAUUGAUCCCUUCCAAGAGAACUUCUAGUAUUGUGUUCAAGACCAGAAGGUUUGAGAUCAUGCCUUGCAGCUCCAGGGGCCCCUUGCAGAAAGAGUUGCGAUCAAACGCAACUAAAAAAAUAUUGCGCAACUUGAUUUUCAGCCAAUGAAGCACCCGUAUUCGGGACUUGCGCUUGAUAUUUUGACUUGCAAUCAAAUGCAACUCUUUCUGCAACAGGCCCCAGAUCAACAAAGCCUGUCGCACACUACACAAUUUUUUUGCGAUCCAAUUUUGGGAAAAAAUUGUAAUAGCGUUCAAUCUUUUAACAUUACAACUUACAAUUCUUAACGAAUAUCAAAAUUAAAAUUUCAAUCAAUUAUGAGCCUCCUUUGAAGGAAUAAAAGCAAAUUAAAUUCCAAAUCAUAGCGAUGUCAUACAAAUCUUACCAUCGGCUACAAUUUGAAGCCAGUUUGGAUUUUACUCAGACAAUACGAUUUGCAGUGAAACAAUAUUUUGUUUUUCAUAUUCCUGGCAUUGUUUAAAACUUCUUGUAAGAUCAUUUUACUUUUUUAAACUUCCAUAUUCAAUGCAAAAAUAUGAUGUUUUGAAAAAUUGGGUCGCAGAUGGAUUACAUAGUGUGCGGUGGGCUGAACAGAAGAUCAGAGAUCAAGAUUGAGAACAUGAGACCAACUUUCGUAAAGGACAAGUCCACUGCAACGAAAAGUUAAUUUUAAUGAAAAGACAAAAUCAUACAUGCAUAAUGCUGAAAAUUUCAUCAAAUUUUUAUUUCAAAUAAGAAAGUUAUGAUAUUUUGAAGGUUAGCUUAAUUUCACAAAACAGUUAUAUGCGCAUUCUGGCUGGUAUGCAGAUGAGGAGACUGAUGACAUCACCCCUCACAAUUUUUUUUUCUUUUUUUUAUAUACGAAUAUGAAAUAUCUUUAUUUUCUCAUAAUGUGAAAGAAUGUUUGAAUUCUCCCUGACCAUGUAGAGUUGCCAUUGAGGUAUUAAACCUAUUAUGAUUUGAUGAAAAGUCUUGUUAUUGUCAAAUAUGGCCAAAAAAAUGAAAUAUCACUGUUGCGCAUAUAAAUAUUUUUUGAAAAAUAAAAAUGUAAUCAUUUUCUUAUUUUACAUCAGAUUUUGAUAAAAUUUUCAAUGUGCUAGUGUUGACUUUUCUUUUUUUUAAUUCAAAUCAACUAUUUGUUGGAGUGGACGUGACCUUUAAAGAAUCCUCCUGAAACAAAAAAGAGUAAUUGGUAAAUUUUAUGCAUUUUUAUAUCAUUGUUAAGAUAUCCCAUGACCUCACCAUUAAUUGCUAAGUUAAAAGCAAUGCUAGUUUAACCCUUAUUAAACUGGGGAGGGGGUCCAUUUGACCCCCCCCCCCCUCGACAAAUUUUGUCACUAUGCCGUCGCGCGAGUAUUUUUGACCGCGCCUCCCGCUGACUUUUUACUUUCAUUGCGCCUCUUUUGAGACCAAAUUUGCGACGCCCGGGUACGGGGUUCCGCAAUGACACAUUUUGUAACUGCAUGUCAGACCCAAAAUUGCUCAAAAACGUGAUUCCGUGUACAAAGUCAAUGCAAAUUGUGUUUUUCAACCAAAAAUCAUAAAUGUAUGAUUAUUUUUACUUUUGUUGGUUCAAAUGGAUUUAUUUUAUGCUAUUUAUGAUCGCAAUAGGGUCCCUGAAAAUUUUCAUCGGAAAAAACAAAGGUAAAAAAAAAACCAAGAAAUACAUAAGAAUUUAAAAAACAAUAAUAUAAAUAAAAUAAAAGAAAUUAAUUGUAUUUUUUGAAUUUUUUUGUAGAUAUUUGUUUGAAUUGUAAAAAUUGAUACUCUCACCAAAAAUUAGCAUUCUACUUGCUAUAUAAAUUGAGUUAAAGUCAAAAACCCAAAUUUAGGGCAAAUUUCAUAUGCUUAUUUGCAUAAGUGAUU